rnacentral:ncRNA from 12 species
GUUCGCCUGCUUCAUGAUGGUCAAGGCCACCAUGACUGAGCGACUCUUUAAUCUGGUCGUGCCGCUGGCUCACGAGGCCACCGCCAUGCGCACCGCAGAUACCGCCGGCAGCAGCCGGGGCCGGUCUGGCGCAGUUUCCCCGCUGAUCGGCGACAGCCUUCGGCGGGGUGACGUAGAUAGCACGAAUGGACG